GACGUAGGGGGCGAGCGUUGUCCGGAUUUAUUGGGCGUAAAGAGCGCGUAGGCGGCCCGGAAAGUCGGAUGUGAAAACCCGGGGCUCAACCCCGGGCCUGCAUCCGAUACUCCCGGGCUGGAGGCAGGUAGGGGAGAUCGGAAUUCCUGGUGUAGAGGUGAAAUUCGUAGAUAUCGGGAGGAACACCGGUGGCGAAGGCGGCGACCUGGGUAGAUACUGACGCUGAGGUGCGAAAGCGUGGGGAGCAAACAGG
rnacentral:rRNA from 1 species